rnacentral:rRNA from 1 species
GAAUGAUGGGAGCUUCUCCCAGAUUACGGCGGACGGGUGAGUAACACGUGGGCACCGCCAUAAACUGGGAUAAUUGGGAAACCGAGCUAAACCGAUACGUUUUUUUCCUAGAGAAAGGAAAACGGCCUUAGCUGUCACUUAUAGAUGGGCCCGCGGCGCAUUAGCUAGUUGGUGAGGUAAUGGCUCACCAAGGCGACGAUGCGUAGCCGACCUGAGAGGGUGAUCGGCCACACUGGGACUGAGACACGGCCCAGACUCCUACGGGAGGCAGCAGUAGGGAAUCUUCCGCAAUGGACGAAAGUCUGACGGAGCAACGCCGCGUGAACGAAGAAGGCCUUCGGGUCGUAAAGUUCUGUUGUUAGGGAAGAACAAGUACCAGAGUAACUGCUGGUCCUGCGUC